rnacentral:lncRNA from 1 species
UAUUUUAAGUGUGCUCCCAAAACAAAAAUAAAGAUGGGAAAGAUGGUUUCUUUUGGGCCUUAAGUUCCCAACUUUACUGAGGAUGUAUGUUCGAAACCCCCUUUGGCCCUUAGCUAAUUUUUCCGCUCCUACUUUUAUUCUUUGAGUAUAUUAUAAUUUAUAUUUAAUAGCAAAUUGCUAUAUCUUUUACUUUUAUCUUUUCUUUUUGAAUUCAAUUAUAA